CUGUGAAUUACAGGGCAGUUCACCUUUGGCACAAGGGCAAGCAGUAGAAACCAUGCGUGCUUGCUAGAGCUGGAAAUGAUGCUGGUAGCAUUGCAUGGUUCAGGGAUCACAGAUCUCGUGCCAAAGGAGAAUUGCCCUGCGAUUUUGUC
rnacentral:pre_miRNA from 17 species